CUGAACUACAAAGUGAGUUCAAGGACAGCCUGGACUAUGUGGUGAGAUCCUUUCUCCAAAAAACCCCUCACAAAACCCUGCUACAAUUCCUGUAGUAACCACAGAAGGUGAAAUUAUUCAGCCAUUCAUCGACCCAAGCAUUACUGUCAGUGACCUUGGCUGUCCAAUUAGCUGCCACGUUCUGCAAGCUUUCCGUGUGCCUGGUGUGGCAACAAGCCUGGGUAGUUGCCAGGGAAGCCGAGGUCUCCAGCGUGAGGCUACAGCCGUAAUUUAGACACGUCUCUUACACGUAGAGCUGUGCUGCUAACUCCAGGCCCAGGGGCUCAUUGGCCCUUUCACUCAGUGUCCUGCCACUGUAGGCGCCUUGUUUUCAUUGUAUAUAAACCAGAGCCACAUUACACACCGUAUAGUUUAGAAUUGUUUUGGUUUUGCAUUUCUGUUCUGAUCACUGAUUUUAGAAAGCCCAUUUCUUAGCUGGGCGUGGUGCUGCAUGCCAGUAAUCCUAACACUCAGGAGGCUGAGGCAGGAGGAUUGGCAUGGUUUCAAAGCAGCCUUAACUAUAUAACAGAAUCUUGUCUCAAAAAAAGUGUUUUUUAAUCUUCAUGGGUAAGUCUGCUUAGUAUAAAUUAAAUCCUAUGUUACUUAUAAUUUGCUCAUAGGCAAAGAUAGGCAAACUCCAGCUGCCUGACUUCCUGUUUUUGUAAAUAUAUUUUUUAUUGAAAUUCAGUCACAGCAUUUGUUUAUCCUCUGUGCUUUUGCAGUUUAAGGGCAAAGUUGAGCUGCCAUGCAGAGGGUGGCCCCAGAAGCUAAAAAUAUUUUUAGCCAUUUAAGAGAAAGUUUACAGGUCCCUGCUCUGGGGCCUCAGUCAUCUCAGCAAUGUAGCAGUGCAUACCUAUUCCUGUAGCUGCUUGGGAGGAUGAGACAGGAGGGUUGUGAGUUUAAGGCCAGCCUGCGUAACUAGAUUAUUUCACUAAACUAAAAAUGACAGGGGCUAUAGCUUAAAAAAUAAGGAAAAUUGCUCUAGUCAAACUCAAGGUCUUUUCAAGAAAAUAUUAAUCCUUAAGUGAUUUGGUACACAAAGGUUUCUGAAGAUUAACAAGUCUCAAGCUAUAGAAUCUGAUAAUGGCUUCAGUGCCAGAGCAAGGACACCCUGCAAGCGGGCAGUUAUGGAAGGCUUGUGCAGUGGGUGCACAGGCAGCGAAGGGCGGCUCUGACCUGUUCUCUCCCCGCUGACAGUUGGCCCUGGUUGAAGGGAGCCAGGUGUGUCCUCCUGCGGGGUCUCCGGCUUUGCCGGCUGCAGCAAGCACAGGUGGAAGCGACUUCCAGGGGACCUCGUGCACCCAAGCCCGCAUGGGGAGGACGACACACACUACACACUGUCAGAGCAUCAGCUGGCCUGUUUCCCUGCCAGGAUGCUUGGCCCUCAGGUCCUUGGGUACCAGCAGCAUCUUGUCUGUCACACCCGUGGUCACUCAGCGCCAGCAGGCUCGGAGCCUUCUUUGCCUGUACAGAUUGGCACCUGGGCAGGCAGGGCUCUUAGAGGGCUCUGCUUGGAAGUGGUCUGGUGAUACAAUUAUGAGCAGAUGUUUGCCUGUUGCUGUUUAGAAUUGCUUUUACUCACUGUCAUUCGACAUGGUGGCUCUUUUCUCAGAGCCCUUUCCUGUGGCAUCUGUGACACUUUCCUGUUGGCCUCUGGCCUAUGCAUGGCCCUAUUUAUUUAGUGUGGACUUUCUGACUGGCCUUGUUUCCUGGAUCGCUGCGUGGCCUCAAGGUCUGGCUUGAGCUUUAGGCUUUCUCGCUGCACAGCUGCUCUGCCAUGGCUUCUUCCUCCACUGCAUGUUCAGCAGUUACCCAGCUCAGAGCUGGGCAUUAGAGGCACUGCCCAGAGGACAAACCUGGCACACAGGCCUCUGGAGGACGCACCGUCCAACUUCAACACUUAGCAGUGUGUGUUAGGAAAAGAACGGCAAGACUGUCCAUUGUGUAAUAAAGCUUUGGGACAGAAACUUCACUUUAAAAAUGCCCGCUCUGCAGCUGGAUGAGAUGGCACACGCCUAUAAUCCUAGCUGCUGAAGCUGAGGCAGGAGGAUCUUGAGUUUGAGACCAGCCUAAGAUUGUGAGAGACACUGUCUGCUUGUUAGCCCACCUUGUACCCCAGACCCAGCUCAGGUUCCGCCCCACUGUACCCACGUAGCCGACUGUUGGGUGGAGCCAGUGUUCCCAGAGACUUGCUGUGUGCUGGGUGCAGUCCAGGCUGGAGAUGAGCGGGUGAGGCAGAGGGUGCAGCCGAUGGAGGCCUUCUGCUGGUGGCAUGGGUCGCCACUGGCCCUAGUCCAGCGUUGGCUGAGCUGGGUGAAGCCUCCCAGAUAACUGGAGUAGGCAGGGCAGGCAGCAGUGCAGUGGCCCGGCGGGGGUGGUCUAGCCAAGGCAUGUCACACCCCACAGGGAGGAUGCUCGGUGAGGAGGCCACAUGGGUCUUCAGGUGGUAUGAUCUCUGUGGUGACCUUGAGAACAGGCGUGGCAGUGUGGGGCUCACGCAGAGAGGCUAAAGUGCCCCAGGAAGGGCUCCGGGGUCCCUGCGGGUCCAUGUUUAUCUUGCUGCCACCAUGCACUGGCCUGGUUUUCUGGGACUGUUCCCUUUCUCUGAGUCAUACUGGUCGGCCUGACAGAAUCACACUGGCUGCCCUCUCAUAGUUUCUAAAGAUCUCAGCCCGCAGAGCUCUCAUUGGGCUUAAAAUAGGAAGGCAGAAAGCAAGGGAGGCCGGUGCCCACCCUUCCAUGAAAGGUUCUCCUGUCUCUUGGGAACUUGAGCUGUGGACAGACGCAGGUCGGUGUUGUGUGCUCUGAGCCCUGCUGCAGCCCAGCCCAGGGGCCUGCGGGCCAGUGUGGCAGCGGGUAGGCCUGGCUUGACAUCCCUGCUCAUCCAGGGAGCGACUGGGGCGGCUCACUUGCACUGGCUCCAAGCCUGUUUGCUUCUGGUGAGCCAGGUGUGAGCUGGUGUGCCACCUGUCGCGGAGCGUGACCACGGUGCUCACCUCUGUGCUCUCGU